UAUCAAUAGCCCACUAAUAAUCUAGCCCAUUAACCCACCUAAGUUAAAACUAAAAUAGUUAAAAUAAGCCCAAAAACCCUUCAAUUCCUCUCCCGCCCUCCCUCUGUGCGAUUGUGCGUGCUCUCUGCCUCCUGUCCUGCCAGCGAUCUUCAUCAGCCGACACAGCAACAACACUGCAGCAGGCGAUAUCAGCCGGAAUCCGACAUCAACAUGACCGGAAUCCGCUCCAAACCAACCGGACACCGACAAACGGAACCAUGAGUAGGGAUGUUAUGGCGCAAUUUCUCAAGAGGAAAGUGGUUGUACCACUUUUUUUGCCGAAUUCUUCUAAUUAUAGACCCAGAAGGUAAUUGUUGUAUCAUGCAAAAUAUCGGGCUCAUUCCUGUUGCGAGUAUUAUCUUUGUCAUAUAUUGUUCAUAUUGUAUGUGAAUAUUCGGAGGGCAACCUUGACAUUGUGGCAUGAGGUUGAACACAAAUGCAAGUGGUUGAGGAACACUUUGGAAAGAAUUGCUUAUGAAGGGAAAACGCCGAAAGAGGUUAUUAAAUCGCUUGCUCAUAUGGCGGAAGAAAUCGUGAAUGAACUUAACACAAGAACCAAUGGAGAACCGGUGGAGAAGGAGAACCCUCCUCUGAAGUUAAUCGCUGCAAACUCAAUGCAUCGUAUUGCACAAACGAUCUUGCACACGUACGAAAGCAACACCUUGGAGAUUAUUGAAGAUGAGUUGUUUACAUGGUUAUCUGAAAUGAUUGUAGACAUAUUAGCUGCUUGCC